UUUUUAUUAUAUUUAACAUUUACGUAAUCUCACGUCUCGUGCUAUGUAUUGUUCCGGGACCGUCAGGAAUCGGGCAUCCGGAAAACUAGAUUUACCCCUUGCCGCAAUGUGACGUCAUUUCCUUGCUUGGGAGCACUGCUGCUGCAGACACUGAGACAGAGACUUGCAACUUCGGCAUUACGUUACACAUCAAGACAAAGUUUUUUUUGAAGAAUUGAAGAAAGUCUUCAAAGAUCCUGAAAGACUCAAGAAUUUUAUUAAUUGCUACUUGCUGCUGGAGCCUGGUCAAAGAGAUUUGAGAAAUCUUCACAGAGAUGCAGAUUAGAAUCCACAUCCACUUUCAAUGACCAGACUUCCAUGCAGUAAACUGUACAUUUACAGAAGAUGGAAAAAUAUCUACAAAUUGAAGAACCAUUUUUCAAGAAAAGAAGCAACAGUUCAUGAUGUUGAACAGCUCACUUGAACCAUGAUCUUUAACUCUUCCAGGUUUCUUCAGAGCGAAAGGACUGAAUAUCAAUCAUUGAAUGAAAGAAUUGCAAUGAAAUGUUAUUAUGGUCUU